UACAGAGGUCCCGAGCGUUGUUCGGAUUCAUUGGGCGUAAAGGGUGCGUAGGCGGCGGGGCAAGUCUGAUGUGAAAUCCCGGGGCUCAACCCCGGAACUGCAUUGGAUACUGCCUUGCUAGAGUACUGGAGAGGGAACUGGAAUUUACGGUGUAGCAGUGAAAUGCGUAGAGAUCGUAAGGAAGGCCAGUGGCGAAGGCGAGUUCCUGGACAGUUACUGACGCUGAGGCGCGAAAGCGUGGGUAGCAAACAGG
rnacentral:rRNA from 1 species